GGCUCAGAAUCAACGCUGGCGGCGUGCCUAACCCUUUGCAAGUCGAACGAGAAAGUGGAGCAAUCCAUGAGUAAAGUGGCGACCGGGUGAGUAACACGUGACUAACCUACCUCCGAGUGGGGAAUAACUCCGGGAAACCGGGGCUAAUACCGCAUAACAUCGCAAGAUCAAAGCAGCAAUGCGCUGGGAGAGGGGGUCGCGGCUGAUUAGCUAGUUGGCGGGGUAACGGCCCACCAAGGCGAAGAUCGGUAUCCGGCCUGAGAGGGCGCACGGACACACUGGAACUGAAACACGGUCCAGACUCCUACGGGAGGCAGCAGUGGGGAAUUUUGCGCAAUGGGGGAAACCCUGACGCAGCAACGCCGCGUGGAGGAUGAAGCCCUUUGGGGCGUAAACUCCUUUCGACCAAGACGAUAAUGACGGUACUGGUGGAAGAAGCACCGGCUAACUCUGUGCCAGCAGCCGCGGUAAUACAGAGGGUGCGAGCGUUGUUCGGAAUUAUUGGGCGUAAAGGGCGCGUAGGCGGUGCGGUAAGUCACCUGUGAAAUCUCCCGGCUUAACUGGGAGCCUGCAUGCCGAAACUACCGUGCUGGAGUGUGGGGAGAAGUGCGCUGGAAUUCCCGGGUGUAAGAGGUGAAAUGCG
rnacentral:rRNA from 1 species